AGCUUUGUGCAGUGGCAGUAUCAUAGCCAAUGAGGUAUAUCCAAGGCGCAAUUUUUGCUAAUUGAAGAGAAUAUAAAUUUAUAAGCAAUCUAUUCACCUAAAAGUUUA
rnacentral:snRNA from 1 species